UUUCGGCGGGCUUCCCGGGGACAAAAAUGGCUAUGGCUAGCGAUUUCUACCUGCGCUACUACGUAGGGCACAAGGGCAAGUUUGGGCACGAGUUUCUGGAGUUCGAAUUUCGGCCGGACAGAAAGCUUAGAUAUGCCAACAACAGCAAUUACAAAAAUGAUGUCAUGAUCAGAAAAGAGGCUUAUGUGCACAAGAGUGUAAUGGAAGAAGUGAAGAGAAUUAUUGAUGACAGUGAAAUUACAAAAGAAGAUGAUGCUUUGUGGCCUCCCCCUGAUAGGGUUGGCUGACAGGAGCUUGAAAUUGUAAUUGGAGAUGAGCACAUAUCAUUUACCACAUCAAAAAUAGGUUCUCUUAUUGAUGUAAAUCAGUCAAAGGAUCCUGAAGGUCUUCGAGUAUUUUACUAUUUGGUACAAGACUUGAAAUGUUUAGUUUUCAGUCUUAUUGGAUUACACUUCAAGAUUAAACCAAUUUAAAUUGUAUGUUUUCAAGCUGUUUGUAUAUUUAAUUAAGGGAUGGGAGGGGUUAUUUGUCAUUGACAAUAUUGGGGUUUUUAUGAAUGUGAAGCAAACAAAAAAAAAAUUUGUAUGUAAACUGAAAAUAAGAAAAUACAUUAGCCAGCUUAAUGGUUAUCCUUACUUGAGUCCACAUGGGUUGGACAGUCCCCACACACAUUAAAUUCUGUAAAUAAAAGCCACCUUUUGUUAAAACUUUGCUCUAAUAAAACAUACCAAAUCCUGAAAAAAAAAAAAA